rnacentral:rRNA from 1 species
GACGAACGCUGGCGGCGUGCCUAAUACAUGCAAGUCCAACGCUUCUUUCCUCCCGAGUGCUUGCACUCAAUUGGAAAGAGGAGUGGCGGACGGGUGAGUAACACGUGGGUAACCUACCCAUCAGAGGGGGAUAACACUUGGAAACAGGUGCUAAUACCGCAUAACAGUUUAUGCCGCAUGGCAUAAGAGUGAAAGGCGCUUUCGGGUGUCGCUGAUGGAUGGACCCGCGGUGCAUUAGCUAGUUGGUGAGGUAACGGCUCACCAAGGCCACGAUGCAUAGCCGACCUGAGAGGGUGAUCGGCCACACUGGGACUGAGACACGGCCCAGACUCCUACGGGAGGCAGCAGUAGGGAAUCUUCGGCAAUGGACGAAAGUCUGACCGAGCAACGCCGCGUGAGUGAAGAAGGUUUUCGGAUCGUAAAACUCUGUUGUUAGAGAAGAACAAGGACGUUAGUAACUGAACGUCCCCUGACGGUAUCUAACCAGAAAGCCACGGCUAACUACGUG